AUGAACGCUGGCGGCGUGCCUAAUACAUGCAAGUCGAGCGAACGGACGAGAAGCUUGCUUCUCUGAUGUUAGCGGCGGACGGGUGAGUAACACGUGGAUAACCUACCUAUAAGACUGGGAUAACUUCGGGAAACCGGAGCUAAUACCGGAUAAUAUUUUGAACCGCAUGGUUCAAAAGUGAAAGACGGUCUUGCUGUCACUUAUAGAUGGAUCCGCGCUGCAUUAGCUAGUUGGUAAGGUAACGGCUUACCAAGGCAACGAUGCAUAGCCGACCUGAGAGGGUGAUCGGCCACACUGGAACUGAGACACGGUCCAGACUCUUACGGGAGGCAGCAGUAGGGAAUCUUCCGCAAUGGGCGAAAGCCUGACGGAGCAACGCCGCGUGAGUGAUGAAGGUCUUCGGAUCGUAAAACUCUGUUAUUAGGGAAGAACAUAUGUGUAAGUAACUGUGCACAUCUUGACGGUACCUAAUCAGAAAGCCACGGCUAACUACGUG
rnacentral:rRNA from 1 species